rnacentral:rRNA from 1 species
GAUGAACGCUGGCGGCGUGCCUAAUACAUGCAAGUCGAACGCUGGAAAUCUAGCUUGCUAGAUUGAAGGAGUGGCGAACGGGUGAGUAAUACAUAAGCAACCUACCCACGAAGACUGGGAUAAUCUCUGGAAACGGGGACUAAUACCGGAUAGGUAAUCGGAAGGCAUCUUCUGAUUAUUAAAGGUUAAAACCACUGGUGGAUGGGCUUAUGGCGCAUUAGUUAGUUGGUGAGGUAACGGCCCACCAAGACGAUGAUGCGUAGCCGGCCUGAGAGGGUGAACGGCCACAUUGGGACUGAGACACGGCCCAGACUCCUACGGGAGGCAGCAGUAGGGAAUUUUCGGCAAUGGGGGAAACCCUGACCGAGCAACGCCGCGUGAGUGAUGACGGCCUUCGGGUUGUAAAGCUCUGUUGUAAGGGAAGAACGGUAGAUAGAGAAUAUCUAAAUGACGGUACCUUACCAGAAAGCCACGGCUAACUACGUG